rnacentral:rRNA from 1 species
GAUGAACGCUGGCGGCGUGCCUAAUACAUGCAAGUCGAGCGAACAGACGAGGAGCUUGCUCCUCUGACGUUAGCGGCGGACGGGUGAGUAACACGUGGAUAACCUACCUAUAAGACUGGGAUAACUUCGGGAAACCGGAGCUAAUACCGGAUAACAUGGUGAACCGCAUGGUUCAACAGUGAAAGACGGUCUUGCUGUCACUUAUAGAUGGAUCCGCGCCGCAUUAGCUAGUUGGUAAGGUAACGGCUUACCAAGGCAACGAUGCGUAGCCGACCUGAGAGGGUGAUCAGCCACACUGGAACUGAGACACGGUCCAGACUCCUACGGGAGGCAGCAGUAGGGAAUCUUCCGCAAUGGGCGAAAGCCUGACGGAGCAACGCCGCGUGAGUGAAGAAGGUCUUCGGAUCGUAAAACUCUGUUAUUAGGGAAGAACAAAUGUGUAAGUAACUAUGCACGUCUUGACGGUACCUAAUCAGAAAGCCACGGCUAACUACGUG